rnacentral:rRNA from 1 species
UAAGUGGAUAGUGAAACCUGGUGGCUCAACCAUUCAGACUAUUAUCCAAACUGGCGAGCUCGAGAAUGGUAGAGGUGGCUGGAAUUUCUAGUGUAGGAGUGAAAUCCGUAGAUAUUAGAAGGAACACCGAUGGCGUAGGCAGGCCACUGGACCAUUUCUGACGCUAAGGCACGAAAGCGUGGGGAGCGAACCGGAUUAGAUACCCGGGUAGUCCACGCCGUAAACGAUGGAUGCUA